CCGCGUGAGUGAAGAAGGCCUUCGGGUUGUAAAGCUCUUUUGUCAGGGAAGAAACGGCUGUGGCUAAUAUCCACGGCUAAUGACGGUACCUGAAGAAUAAGCACCGGCUAACUACGUGCCAGCAGCCGCGGUAAUACGUAGGGUGCAAGCGUUAAUCGGAAUUACUGGGCGUAAAGCGCGCGUAGGUGGUUCGUUAAGUUGGAUGUGAAAGCCCCGGGCUCAACCUGGGAACUGCAUCCAAAACUGGCGAGCUAGAGUAUGGCAGAGGGUGGUGGAUUUCCCUGGGAGCGGUGAAAUGCGUAAAUUAGGAGGAACCCGUGGGAAGGC
rnacentral:rRNA from 1 species